GUUUCAAGCUUCAACUUUCAACGUUUAACAAGUCUCACCUGCCGUGCUGUGUGUGAAACCACCGUGAUUGAUUGAUUGGAAUAUUCUACGAUCCGACAGAUGCCAAAUCUUCCUGACGGUAAACUGCAUUCUCAAUUGAUCGAUUGUUUGUUCGUUUGUGUACUCAUCGGUGCUAAACGCCGAAACUUAGUGCUUGAUUGAUGUAGCUUCUUCGGCUAGGAAGAACCCAUCGGCACUUUCACGUCCGGUAAGUGUUUGAUGAAAUGUCUCAGUCAGUAAGUGUUUUAAAGGGCUCUUGUAUCUGUCUUUUUAGUCACUUGUUUAAUGAUUCUUGUUGAGAUUAGUCAUUCUGAAGUGAUAUUCUUGAUGGGUAUGUAAGAAAUCCUGGAGAUACGUUCCUAUUUUCAAAUAUUGUUGGUAAAUUAACCCACAUUCAGAUCUUUAUUUGUUGUGAAUCGUUAGGUGAUGGAAGGAACCUUCUUGCUUUCUUGUUACGGUGAUAUAUUGAAGGAACACAUAUAAAUUGUUUGUAAUGUUAUUGGUUUGUUUACAAGUUGAUUGGUGCUAUAUGCAGUUGGGGAAUCAUUGCAUCUGUUUGACUGUUUGAGGAAUAAAACUACUAGGCAAUGCAAAAGAUGUGCACGAUUGAGGGUUUGCGCAUGACUUUUCAACCUCGGCCUCAAGUUUCAAUUGGUAUGGGUGUGAACAAUGAACUAUAUACACAGGUUGAAAUAGAUGGGGAUGUGUGGGGUAAGGGAGUUGGGAUGACAUGGGAUGAAGCUAAGAUGCAGGUACAUAUCUGUUCUAUAUUAUCAUAAUAACGUUUUCUUUUGGCUUAAAUGAUUUAGGAGGUCUUAUUCAAUUAAUCCUAGGGGUGUUAUAAACUGUGGUUACAAAUUGUAUAGGUUGUGGUCUUAAGCGGAAAAUAAAGCCCAUAUUGGAGUGUUCCGCUUGUUUGUGAAGGCCAUGCUAAGGAUGUGUAAUCUGCUGAUUAAGUCCCAGCUGCACCGCUUGGGCUUAGCGCUCACACGAUCGAUCUUUUGAGAUGGUGUGAUGGCCCACCACCGAUUCUUCAUCUAAAUUUGAAUAAUUAUUUGCUCUCUUUUGAGUUCAACGUUGAUCACAACAGUUGGAGGGCUUCAGUACAUCAGUACCAAAAGGGUAAAACACGAUACGUUCAUUACCGACAAACAGAUUAUCUAUUAGCAGAGUCAAGGUGGCAUUGCAGCUUCUGUUUCCAAAAAGUUACAGAUUUUGUAUUCAAGAUGAAAGCUUAGAGCCACACGGAUCGAGUCAGGUUCUCACACUUUCUUAACCCGAAAAGGAUUCAGAAUGUAAUAUGCAACGGUGAUGACUUGUACGAUAUGCUUCCCGAAGAGCACACGUUUAAGGAUAUCAUAGCGAAAAUGGGUCCAAUUUCUCAUUCUUAUUCAGCAGUCCAUCUUCCAUCAUAUCUAUUAAAAAAUGCAGAUGAAUACAUGUAUCUUUUGCCCGGUAAUUGCAUCCGUGAAGCAGGGGCGGACCUAUAUAGUGGUCAGGGUGGGCGGCCGCACCCCUUGAAAAAAAAAUUUAGUGUAUAUUUUAGGCAAAAAAACCCGACGCACCCCUUGAAAAUAUGGUUGAACACCUCAUCCGCACCCCCAAGAAAUAAUUUCUGGGUCCGCCAGUGCCGUGAAGCGGGUUGAAUUCGGGUUGAAUUUUGGUUUAAUGUAACUUUUCGUGAUAUAAACAUAGUUUAAGUACUUAUUUACCAAAAGAUUAUAGGCUGUGUUUUUUUAAUUAAGGAGUGGUUAAGUUGUACAUUUUUUUCCUCCUAUAAUACACAUAUGGAGAGUUUUGAAAUCUUGUUGAGUUGUUUCAAAUGUUUCUUUACUA